rnacentral:rRNA from 1 species
GACGAACGCUGGCGGCGUGCUUAACACAUGCAAGUCGAACGAAGAGCGAUGGAAGCUUGCUUCUAUCAAUCUUAGUGGCGAACGGGUGAGUAACGCGUAAUCAACCUGCCCUUCAGAGGGGGACAACAGUUGGAAACGACUGCUAAUACCGCAUACGAUCUAAUCUCGGCAUCGAGGAUAGAUGAAAGGUGGCCUCUACAUGUAAGCUAUCACUGAAGGAGGGGAUUGCGUCUGAGUAGCUAGUUGGAGGGGUAACGGCCCACCAAGGCGAUGAUCAGUGGCCGGUCUGAGAGGAUGAACGGCCACAGUGGGACUGAGACACGGCCCAGACUCCGACGGGAGGCAGCAGUGGGGAAUCUUCCGCGAUGGACGAAAGUCUGACGGAGCAACGCCGCGUGGGUGAUGACGGCCUUCGGGUUGUAAAGCUCUGUUAAUCGGGACGAAAGGCCUUCUUGCGAAUAGUGAGAAGGAUUGACGGUACCGGAAUAGAAAGCCACGGCUAACUACGUG